GGAUCCAUUGGAGGGCAAGUCUGGUGCCAGUAGCCACGGUAAUUCCAGCUCCAAUAGCGUAUAUUUAAGUUGUUGCAGCGCACAAAUUACCCAAUCCUGACACGGGGAGGUAGUGACAAUAAAUAACAAUACCGGGCUCUAUGAGUCGGGUAAUUGGAAUGAGUACAAUCUAAAUUCCUUAACGAGGAUCCAUUGGAGGGUAAGUUUGGUGCCAGCAGCCGCAGUAAUUCAAGCUCCAAUAGCGUAUAUUUAAGUUGUUGCAGUUAAAAGGCUCGUAGUUGGACUUUGGGAUGGGCCGGCCGGUCCGCCUUAGGUGUGCACCGGUCGUCUCGUCCCUUCUGCCGG